rnacentral:lncRNA from 1 species
UUUAAUUUAAAAAUUAAUAUAAUCCUAUACUUAAUCCUAACAUCCAAACAUGCCCUUAUAUGAUAAUAAACUGGGACUGAAACUCGAAAGUUGAGUUGAUCGUAUCUUCCAUACGCACAAAUGAACGAAUCCAUUAGAGUCACGAUAGCAGUAAUAGGAUGAGAAUGAUACUAGCCAAACAAUGUGGUGGCGUGGGGCCAUAAUUUUGACAAUGAUCCCCCUCUCUUCUUGUUCGGUCUGAAACAGACGUCGCUGUUGGACUGAAGCUAGUCGUCGAAUGCAACUAAAGUCGUCGCAGGGAAUCUCUCGUUGCUUUUGUUGUUUUUAAUCUUCUAAUUAGUUCCACGAACCGGUGGUCUUCAUCACUCGCGCCUUAGCAUUAUUACGUACGUACUAGGCUUUGACUGACGAAUGAUUAUGAAUGUCACCAAGUCAGCAACCGAACACAACGAUUAUAUUAUAGAGUAGGGAGAGUUACAGAGAAAUAUGAAAGUGUAGAAAAAUAUGAGAGAAAGAAGAGAGAAAUUUGUCUUUUCUCUCUACUCAUCCACACUCAUUUUUUUUUUUAAAUUAUAUUAUACAUAGAUUGUUACUCACAUUAUAUCAGAUAUUAUAAUUAAUAUUUACAAUCAUACUAUACAAUUGGAAUCGCCGUCAAAUAUUGACACACUGAAGUACUUGUCCAGAUACUUUAAAUCCUUUCAAAUAUUCGAGAGGUGCCUACUCCACUCACAUUUCGUAAGGCAAAGACUGUCUCCACUUAAUUAUGUUGAUGAUUGAAGGAGUACUGAAAUUAACUUCCAUAAAGUUUUUAUGGAGGCUCGAACCUUUACACUCAACAUUGUAAAUGCAAAACUUAGCCCAUUGGUCCAUUUUCUUCUUUAUUCUCUCAUAUUUCUCUA